rnacentral:rRNA from 1 species
AUUGAACACUGGCGGCCGGCCUAACACAUGCAAGUCGAACGAGUGGCGGACGGGUGAGCAAUGACUGGGAAACUGCCUGAUGGCGGGGGAUAACUACUGGAAACGGUAGCUAAUACCGCAUACCAUCGAAUGUGCCCAGAUGGGAUUAGCUAGUAGGGGGGGUAACGGCUUACCAAGGCGCAGAUCCCUAGCUGGUCUGAGAGGAUGACCAGACACACUGGAACUGAGAAACGGUCCAGACGCCUACGGUCGGCAGCAGUGGGGAAUAUUGCACAAUGGGCGCAAGCCUGAUGCAGCCAUGCCGCGUGUAUGAAGAAGGCCUUCGGGUUGUAAAGUACUUUCAGCGGGGAGGCGUUACCCGCAGAAGAAGCACCGGCUAACUCCGUGCCAGCAGCCGCGGUAAUUG